rnacentral:rRNA from 1 species
GACGUAGGGCGCAAGCGUUGUCCGGAAUUAUUGGGCGUAAAGAGCUCGUAGGCGGUGUGUCACGUCGGCCGUGAAAACCUGCAGCUUAACUGUGGGCGUGCGGUCGAUACGGGCAUCACUGGAGUUCGGCAGGGGAGACUGGAAUUCCUGGUGUAGCGGUGAAAUGCGCAGAUAUCAGGAAGAACACCCGUGGCGAAGGCGGCUCUCUGGGACGGUACUGACGCUGAGGUACGAAGGCCAGGGGAGCAAACGGG